GGGAUCGUGGGGUAGCUUGGUAAUCCUUCGGGCUUAGGGAGCCCGUGACUCGAGUUCGAAUCUCGACGAUCCCA
rnacentral:tRNA from 2 species